rnacentral:rRNA from 1 species
AUUGAACGCUGGCGGCAGGCUUAACACAUGCAAGUCGAAACGGAAACAGAAGGUAGCUUGCUACUUUGCUGUCGAGUGGCGGACGGGUGAGUAAUGCUUGGGAACAUGCCUUUAGGGUAGGGGACAACAGUUGGAAACGACUGCUAAUACCGCAUAAUAUCUUCGGAUCAAAGUGGGGGACCUUCGGGCCUCACGUCUAGAGAGUGGCCCAAGUGGGAUUAGCUAGUUGGUAAGGUAAUGGCUUACCAAGGCGACGAUCCCUAGCUGGUCUUAGAGGAUGACCAGCCACACUGGAACUGAGACACGGUCCAG